UCCUCCCUUGCUCCCAGUACCCAUGAGGACAUGCAGCCGUACAGGUGGCCUGGUCAUGAGCUGCAGCUUCUUGGAGAGCUGCAGAGACAACAAAACAACGCCCAAUUCUGUGAUGUCCUGUUGAAAACUGAUGGUAUCACGGUCCCGACCCACAGUUGCGUCCUUGCAGCGCUCAGUCCUUACCUGUCUCAGAGGCUGUUGUCCUCCCCGUCCCCCCCGUUGGGCCAGAAGCGUGAGCUCUGUCUCCAGGCGGUAAAGGCCCAGACGCUGCUGAAGCUCGUCAGCCUUCUGUACUCCGGGGAGGUGGAGGUGAACGGAAGCGCGGAGCAGAAUGACUUGCUGUCUGCAGCGGGCCAGUUUGGUAUCGCAGACUUUGUUAACGGACAGAGAAAUGCAGAAGGGUGGGAGGGGGGAGUCCAGAAAAGUUGUUUUGGGAGUUUCGGAGAGAAGAACGAAAGCAGACAAACUCCGGCUGCGCAAGUUCAGGCCGGAGGGGCCGGAUGGAGGAACGCAGUUUGUCCAGUCGAAAUGAGAAAUUGUGUAUCCACAGGGAAACAUAAUGUUGAAGCUGAUCAAAAGACUGUGGGAUGUUCCACGAAACACUCACAAACUGAACGUCCACACCCAGUACCCGAACCCGCUGUAGCUACACAUUCGUAUUGUUCGACCUCAUUGGAAUCCCAACGCGUCACACGUGAUGAACAUUUCAGCUCCGCACCGCGCUCACAUAUCCCCUCGGCGCACAGUGGAGCACAAAGUGAUGGAGGGUCCACAACGGACCGAUCCUCCGGCAGUGUCCCAAAUUCCACGCCGCUUUUGUCCAGCAGCGGGACGACCUUCCCCGUCUCGCCCAACAAAGACUCAAACUCCUCAUCACCUCCGGACGACAGCGCCAACGAGCAGUCGUCUAAGAUGGGGGAUAGCAUGCAGGUGUUGGAUGAGGAAGGAACAGGAAACACAAACGGCAAAACAGCUGCCAUUGGGGAAAGAGAUGAGAUGCCAGGAGAGGAAAGGGGAAGCUCCGCAGAGAAGAGGCAUGCACACGUAGGGAUGAAGAGCCUGUCCAAGAUGAGACAGAUGCAGGAGAUGGAGACUUCUAUUAAGAUGAAGCUGAGGAGGAGGAUCAAUGGAGAAGUGUGGGAGGUUGUGAAUGUGCAAGACACAGAGGAUGCGUUGUCAGUUAACUCCCUGAAACAGGAUGACUCCAGCCACAAAAGGCUGCGCGCUGACCCGGUGAGCCGUGAGCCUCCUCUUUCUUGUGUCCAGCCAGGCCCAACUCAUAAACCGGAGGCCCCGGCUAUUCAACCCGCAACCAAUCACUCCACCGAGCAACCGCCUCACCCCGACUACGACCCCCAGCUUCUGUCCAGUGACUUCUUCAGUGAAGAGCUUGAGUCGGUCCCGCUGAACCAGGCUGCAGGCUCUGCAGAGGAGUGUGACGAGCAAAUGGAGAAGCUGCUGGAGGACAUCAUGAUGGGUCUGAACAUCCUGCCAAACUUGGACAGAGACUGCAAAGAGUCUGAUUGUCCUCAAACGGACCAGGAAGGAGUACUGGCCAAUUGCCGGGUCCCAGUUACAGAGAACAAGUGGCAGCAGAGUCAAACUCGUGUUGCCGCCGGGGCCGCGGGAUGUGAGUAUUACCAGGACUUUGAGACGCCAAUUGGCAACACAGCAACCAAUACAGGUAUCUAUUGUAAUUUUACAGCUCAGAACCAGCCCGGCUGUUCAAGCCUCUCCUCGGCACAGCCGGCUGCUGUCCAGGAGCACCAGACCUCCUCCGGGAAUCCCUCAUCCGUCACGCCUGUGGGAGGAAGAGAAGGAACAAGCCUGCAGGGCGCCACGCUGUGCAAAACGCUACAUUGUCAAUAUCCAGAAGCGAGGCAAUUUGCAUCCCGCACUUAUUCCCCAGCGUGCCAGGAACCGCCCUCACAAGACAAUCGGCACACGGUGGAGCCUUUUCUCCACGUUAAUGAAAAUGGAGCCCAGUCCUUGCAGCCCUUACGUUGCAUGGAUGACUUGCGGCUUCCUCGAUGUCUCUCUCCGUUAGAGCCGUCCACCUCCACAGCAAAACAUCAGCCCGACCUCAACAGCUCCACGCACCACAGCGAUAUUUUUGAGCUACAGUCACCUGUGCGCGGACGACCCUGGCUUGCCAUAAAACCCGGAUUACUACAAUUCCCUCUCAGUGCCAUGGUUCAUGGAGAAAGUAAAAGUGUGUCUUUUCCCCGGCAGUCAAAUUGCAGCAACUCUUCACAGCGAGAGCAGAAACAGCCGGAGUUGAAUCCACCAGGUGGGGAAACCCGGACAGCACCUUGUUCCGUUCGAGAGGUGAAAGAGAGGGAAGCAAUAUCCGGUGGUCAUGAACACGUGCCAGAGGAGAAAUCUGAUCUCCGGAAGGUGAAGAAAAAUGUAAAAUGUAAACAAGUGGACACUAAAGGUGAAGGUGUGGUGGCUAAAAAGAGGAAAAGGGCGCACUCCGGUCAUCCACUGAACACCAGUUCUCCUUCAGAGUACAUUCGAGUGAAAGUCAGUGAUGGAGCAAAAGGUCAAAUGAACCUCGGCGUCUGUUUAGUCAGUUUGUCAAGCAACAACGUCCUGGCAAAGGAAAGAGAAAUGGCCGCCAGUUCAAACGUGCCCAACCCCUUUGCAGGGAAAACUAAUGAACCGUCGACCAUCACAGAAAGUGAGAGAGAGACAACCAGAGGGCCCGGAGAUCCCACUACCAGUCCCAUGCGGAUCAGGACCAGGGGCUUUUUGAAAAAAACUCAAGAGACCCCGGGUAGCUCAAGCACAGAAAGUCCUGUUUUGAAAUCCGCUUCCUGCAGAGCUCAAAUUUUGAAUAAACAAGACGCACCCGAGCAGGGCCGCGGGAGGCUGCGGUCAAAGAGGGGCCGCGGGAGGCCGCGGAAAAUAGCAGUCGAAGCGAUCCCGCCAGACAAAACGAGCCACGAUGUAAAAAGAGAGGAGCAAAUUGACGGCGGUUUGUCAAAGGAGGGGAGCAGGAAGACAAGGAGGUGUAUGAAACAGAUCGGGAAUGAACGCGAAUCGGAGGCGGUUCCGCCGCCGGCCUUCAGCGCUGAGGCGGGCCGCGACGCCGACGUGAUCCCUGACCGGAGACUACGCGGAGCGACCAAACCAUCCAGGAUGGUCAAUCUGAAGGAGUUCCAGAAGCUCGUCAAGCGCCAACACUCAAAGACCAGAAAGUCCAGAACGGAAGUGAAGAACAGCCAGGACGAGGAAAGCCGCGAUACCGCAAGAGUCGCAGAGUGUGAGGACGAGAAGGCGCGCGGCAGCGGAUUUGAAGAAUUAACUCGCGAGACAGAAAUGGACGUCGCAAAGCCCCGGGACGGGGACGUGCUUAAAGAGUGUCUCCACAUCUCUAAUGUCGGAGUUGAUGAUAAUAAUAACGAUCCAAUUUUUAACAAAUCAGCGGCUGAGGAUGGCGAGUCCCAGGGAGACGAGCCGAACGUCUCUGCCAGUGAGUCCCGGCCAGUGUCGGCCUGCGACGUCUCGGGAGAAGAGGCCGCGUUAGCAGCUGAGACGGAGCAGCCACUGAAGUGUCCCGAUGAAGCCCGUGGUAAAGGGGAGUCAGGUGAAACACCGCAGACUGCCAUCCACGACGAAGGAUCGUUUCACAGUGACACGCACUUGCCUCAAGAAGACGAAAUGCCUCUGUUGAGCCACGGGACGCCACAGAGGACGAGUGAACCGCAGUCGGGCGCUGGGUCCGGCGGCAGCAGCGGCUGCGAUGAAGAGGAGGUAGACGUCCUGCUCUUCACUCCAGACAAAGUGCCGCCGACCCAAGAGUGUGAGAAUGGACUCGACCACAUGGAGAUAACUCCCGAGGAAGAGGACGAGGACGAUGGGAAUGAGAUUGAUGUAACCGGAGAUGAGGCAGAGUAA
ensembl:lncRNA